rnacentral:ribozyme from 1 species
GACGAACCAAAGGAAUCAAUCAAUAAAUCAAAUCAUUAAUCAAUUUCUCCUCAGUGUGUAUACUUCCUCCCGCAGCUUCUAUAUUUUCUUGCUUUAUCUGUUUUGUUUUUUUUGCUGACUUUUUAUUCUUCUUUUAUUU